CUGCUUCCUGGACUCUGUGUUGGCCCUCACUGCAUGCUGGGACAUACGGGGGAGGGAGGAGGGGGAGUCUCGGCAGCAGUCCGUGGUGUGUGUACAGAAGAGUGAGUCACAGGCCCUGCAGUGAGGAGCCUUGCUGGAGCCAGAGCCAGGAGGUGCAGAGUGUGGAACUUGUGGAAAAAGAAAACACAUAGACCAUCAAAGCCUAGCCAACAACUGAAGACAAAGCAAAAGGAAUUGUUUUCAAGUAUAAGACUGAAUCAGGAGGAAAACCAAAGUUCUAUGGGGCUAAAAUGGAAGCCAAUCAUGGACCGUUACUGAUUUUGAGGCUUGUCAAAACCAAAUGGGACAGUACAUACUUGUCACACCUGAUCAGAUCCGUACCAGUAUUACCAGGAAACAAGGCAUUAAAAAAGUUUUUGGCGGUAGAAAUUGCAAAACCUUGAUGAUAUUAUACAGGUGGAGGGCUGCAGAAAGUCCUCUUUGUAUUUCUGGUACCCUCUGUCAUAAGCUUCAAAGCGAGUGGUGAGAGAUAUGAAUAAUGAGCGCAACUCAUUGAUAACACAGAGUUUGUGAUUCAGCUGGGAAGGAUCUGGCCGUACAAAUGCAAACUCUUUACAACUCAUCACAACUGGACCCCAUCAAGAUCAGAGAAGCUGAAGGACAGGUAAAAUUACAGGUAGGAUAGGAAUGAUAUUUGUAAACUCUACAUUUAUUGCCCUACUUAAAAUACACAAUUGUGUUUUCUUUUUAAAGAGUAGUUCCUUGCCUAACACAAUCCACCAAUAGUCCAGUUAGUCUAAUUUCUAUUCCAGCAGGCUCUCUAUGGAAGUCAUUACAUAUAGCUCCAGGUUGAAUAAUACUGUUCAAGGUGUGUACUCAAAGGUAGGAUAUGAGUUUAUAGCUCAAACUGUAGCUACAGUAAAUUGCGGGAGUAUGAUGGGAUGAGUAUGACCAGUAAUAUAGCGCACAAUGCUAUGUAUUCUAACAUAUUUCUUGGUUGGGAAGUCAUCAGCUCUUUUACAAAGUCUAAUAAUUCAUUUUAUGCAAAUGUCUUUUUUGUAAAAUUUCUAAAACAGUCUUUAAAUCUAGAACACAAAUGAUCCCAGUUGACCGUAUUUUCCCUACAGCAAUGACAUUUUUUUGUCUUUCAUAAACCAAGGGAAAUUAAUAGGUUUAAUUUUUUAGAUCAGCAGAGAUACUCUUGCUCUCUGAGGAACCCUCAGCCAUCAGCCACUAAAGACAAUGAUCCUUAUAAAGAAAUUGUGUCUAAUUAACACCACUGAAGAUUUGGAAGUUACCGAAAGAACCAUGAGCAUCCUCUACCAUCUCUGGUCGACCUAUUCUAUGCAUCUGUAGUUUUUUGUAUUAAUAAUAAUUUCUGUUCUGCAAAGAAGGGAGUAAACACAUGUUAUUUUGUUUGCAUUUCUCAUAAAUCAUACAUUUAUUACACAUUACUUUUGUGAUCUGAAACACUUGGUUCAGUGUGUGUCAGAGAAAAGGAAGAUAUCUUGUAAAUCAGCGAGGAACUGCUAUUCGUAUGAUCUGGAAUUUGCAUUUAGGCAAAAAUUAUAAUACUUUGCAGUUUGCUUUUUACAAUACAAUUUUUUUAAAUGGAGGGCAAGUGUAUUACAGCAUCAAUUGCUUUCUUACUUCUAUAUUUUUGCCAUUUCUGUUUUUAUAUAUCCAUCAUUAAAGUAUGAUAAAACAAGAAAGAAGGAAAGAAAGAAAGAAAGAAAGAAAGAAAGAAAGAAAGAAAGAAAGAAGUAAAAUUAAACACCAACAGUUAUUACCAUAAAAUCAAAAU